CAACCCCUGUUUAAAUACCACCUCCGUCCCGUUGCUUCGGCGGUUCGCGCCGCCGGAGGUACCAAAACUCAACUGUUUUUACUUGGCAUCUCUGAGCUUCUAAAGCAAAAAAAUAAGUCAAAACUUUCAACAACGGAUCUCUUGGUUCUGGCAUCGAUGAAGAACGCAGCGAAAUGCGAUAAGUAAUGUGAAUUGCAGAAUUCAGUGAAUCAUCGAAUCUUUGAACGCACAUUGCGCCCGCCGGCAUUCCGGCGGGCAUGCCUGUUCGAGCGUCAUUUCAACCCUCAGCCCCCCCGGGGCUGGUGUUGGGGCGCCCGGCGCCUGACCCUUUAGGCGCCGGGGCCCCCAAGUUCAUCGGCGGGCUCGCCUGGACCCUGAGCGCAGUAGCACUGCCAAACGCUCGGAUCGCCCACGGCGGGUUCCCGGCCGCUAAACCCCCAACUACCAAAGGUUGACCUCGGAUCAGGUAGGAAUACCCGCUGAACUUAAGCAUAUCAAUAAGCGGAGGAAAAGAAACCAACAGGGAUUGCCCCAGUAACGGCGAGUGAAGCGGCAACAGCUCAAAUUUGAAAUCUGGCCCUAGGGUCCGAGUUGUAAUUUGCAGAGGAUGCUUUCGGUGCGGCCCCUUCUGAGUCCCCUGGAAUGGGGCGCCAAAGAGGGUGAGAGCCCCGUAUAGUCGGACGCCAAACCGGUGUAAAGCUCCUUCGACGAGUCGAGUAGUUUGGGAAUGCUGCUCUAAAUGGGAGGUAAAUUUCUUCUAAAGCUAAAUAUAGGCCAGAGACCGAUAGCGCACAAGUAGAGUGAUCGAAAGAUGAAAAGCACUUUGAAAAGAGGGUUAAACAGUACGUGAAAUUGUUGAAAGGGAAGCGCUUGUGACCAGACUCGCGCCCGGCGGAUCAUCCGGCGUUCUCGCCGGUGCGCUCCGCCGGGCUCGGGCCAGCAUCGGUUUCCGGCGGGGGACAAAGGCUCCGGGAACGUGGCUCCCUU
rnacentral:rRNA from 1 species